CGGAGGAAAAGAAAAUAACAAUGAUUUCCCUAGUAACGGCGAGUGAAGAGGAAAGAGCUCAAAGUUGGAACCUGUUUGGCCUAGCUAAACAGGAUUGUAAACUGUAGAAGUGUUUUCCAGGCAAUCCGAGUUAAUAAGUCCUUUGGAACAGGGCAUCAUAGAGGGUGAGAAUCCCGUCUUUGAUUCGAGAUAUUUUGUCUUUUGCGAUACACUUUCAAAGAGUCAGGUUGUUUGGGAAUGCAGCCUAAAUUGGGUGGUAAAUCUCACCUAAAGCUAAAUAUUGGCGAGAAACCGAUAGCGAACAAGUACCGUGAGGGAAAGAUGAAAAGAACUUUGAAAAGAGAGUUAAACAGUAUGUGAAAUUGUUAAAAGGGAACCGUUUGGAGCCAGACUGGCUUGUCUGUAAUCAAUCUAGGUUUCGUGCCUGGAUGCACUUGCAGACUAUUUGCCUGCCAACGACAAUUUUUUUUGAGUGUAAAAACUAUUGGAAAUGUGGCCAAUAUUUAUUUAUUGGUGUUAUAGUCCUUUAGAAAAUACCUUGAAUUGGAUUGAGGAACGCAGCGAAUGCUUCUCUU
rnacentral:rRNA from 1 species